rnacentral:tRNA from 1 species
AAUGGGAUGGCCGAUUUAGGUGAUAAAUUGUAAAUUUAUUUAAGGAUUUAUUUCCUCUCAUUA